GCGCCACAAUUACUUCCUUGAGGCUUGCUGCAAAAGUUAAUGAAGAAGAGGAGUUUAUUCCACAAGUAAAAGACUUCACAAAGCACUAUGGCUCUGACUAUUCCCCGAAUGAGCUGCUGAGGAUGGAGCUGGCUAUUCUGGACAGACUGCACUGGGACCUCUAUAUUGGGACGCCGCUGGACUUCUUGACUAUAGUGAGUAAGGAGGUGUUUACAGAGUCUACCCUAAACUCGUUUGUGCCUUUGGAACAGCUGUUUACAACAUAGGACGGCAAAGCACAGGCGUGAACACGCCCUUGCACAUGCACCACAGUGAGGUGACCCACAAGGCUCAUGACAUACGGAAGAGUGAAAAGGUAUCUUCAAUCCAACACAGUUCCACCAGACUCCCACUUCUAAAGGACAUUAAAUUAACUUUACAAAGAUUUUUAGACGGCACUAGUAUGGUGAGUUUCUCUUUUAAAUACACACUGCAAAAAUAUUUAACUUUC
rnacentral:sRNA from 1 species